ensembl:snoRNA small nucleolar RNA SNORD19
GAGGCCUGAGGAAAACAUCCCAGCAGUCCGAUUCUCACUGCAGACUGAUAAGUUCCAAGUCUGACCCCAACAUAGAA